rnacentral:rRNA from 1 species
AGUGAACGCUGGCGGUAGGCCUAACGCAUGCAAGUCGAACGGCAGCACAGUAAGAGCUUGCUCUUACGGGUGGCGAGUGGCGGACGGGUGAGGCAUACAUCGGAAUCUACUUUUUCGUGGGGGAUAACGUAGGGAAACUUACGCUAAUACCGCAUACGACCUACGGGUGAAAGCAGGGGAUCUUCGGACCUUGCGCGAUUGAAUUAGCCGAUGUCGGAUUAGCUAGUUGGCGGGGUAAAGGCCCACCAAGGCGACGAUCCGUAGCUGGUCUGAGAGGAUGAUCAGCCACACUGGAACUGAGACACGGUCCAGACUCCUACGGGAGGCAGCAGUGGGGAAUAUUGGACAAUGGGCGCAAGCCUGAUCCAGCCAUACCGCGUGAGUGAAGAAGGCCUUCGGGUUGUAAAGCCCUUUUGUUGGGAAAGAAAAGCAGCAGGUUAAAACCCCGCUGUUCUGACGGUACCCAAAGAAUAAGCAACGGCUAACUUCGUG